rnacentral:rRNA from 1 species
UCAGAACGUCGUGAGACAGUUCGGUCCCUAUCUGCCGUGGGCGUUGGAUGAUUGAGAGGAGCUGCUCCUAGUACGAGAGGACCGGAGUGGACGAAUCCCUGGUGUUCGGGUUGUCAUGCCAAUGGCAUUGCCCGGUAGCUACAUUCGGAAUCGAUAACCGCUGAAAGCAUCUAAGCGGGAAGCGAGCCUCAAGAUGAGUCAUCCCAAGGGCUUUAAGCCCUCUGAAGGGCCGUUUUAGACUAAGACGUUGAUAGGUUGGGUGUGUAAGCGCUGCGAGGCGUUGAGCUAACCAAUACUAAUGACCCGUGCGGCUUAACCAU